rnacentral:rRNA from 1 species
AGGGUUUGAUCAUGGCUCAGAACGUACGCUGGCGGCACGCCUAACACAUGCAAGUCGAACGAAGUAGCAAUACUUAGUGGCAGACGGGUGAGUAACAUGUAGGUAUCUGCCCUUUGGCCUGGAAUAACACGAGGAAACUUGUGCUAAUACCGGAUAAGUCUUUACGGAGAAAGCUUUAUGCACCAUUGGAUGAGCCUGCACUUGAUUAGUUUGUUGGUGGGGUAAUGGCCUACCAAGACUGUGAUCAAUAGCUGAUUUGAGAGGAUGAUCAGCCACAUUGGGACUGAGACACGGCCCAAACUCCUACGGGAGGCAGCAGUGGGGAAUCUUGCACAAUGGAGGAAACUCUGAUGCAGCGAUGCCGCGUGAGUGAAGAAGGCCCUUGGGUUGUAAAGCUCUUUCGUCGGGGAAGAAAAUGACUGUACCCGAAUAAGAAGGUCCGGCUAACUUCGUGCCAGCAGCCGCGGUAAUACGAAGGGACCUAGCGUAGUUCGGAAUUACUGGGCUUAAAGAGUUCGUAGGUGGUUGAAAAAGUUAGUGGUGAAAUCCCAGAGCUUAACUCUGGAACUGCCAUUAAAACUUUUCAGCUAGAGUAUGAUAGAGGAAAGCAGAAUUUCUAGUGUAGAGGUGAAAUUCGUAGAUAUUAGAAAGAAUACCAAUUGCGAAGGCAGCUUUCUGGAUCAUUACUGACACUGAGGAACGAAAGCAUGGGUAGCGAAGAGGAUUAGAUACCCUCGUAGUCCAUGCCGUAAACGAUGUGUGUUAGACGUUGGAAAUUUAUUUUCAGUGUCGCAGGGAAACCGAUAAACACACCGCCUGGGGAGUACGACCGCAAGGUUAAAACUCAAAUGAAUUGACGGGGACCCGCACAAGUAGUGGAGCAUGUGGUUUAAUUCGAAGAUACGCGCAGAACCUUACCAACACUUGACAUGUUCGUCGCGACUCUAAGAGAUUAGAGUUUUCGGUUCGGCCGGACGAAACACAGGUGCUGCAUGGCUGUCGUCAGCUCGUGUCGUGAGAUGUUGGGUUAAGUCCCGCAACGAGCGCAACCCUCACUUUUAGUUGCCAUCAUUAAGUUGGGCACUCUGAAAGAACUGCCAGUGAUAAGCUGGAGGAAGGUGGGGAUGACGUCAAGUCCUCAUGGCCCUUACGUGUUGGGCUACACACGUGCUACAAUGGUAUCUACAACAGGAAGCAAGACUGCGAAGUUAAGCAAAUCCCUAAAAGAUACCUCAGUUCGGAUUGCACUCUGCAACUCGAGUGCAUGAAGCUGGAAUUACUAGUAAUCGUGGAUCAGCGUGCCACGGUGAAUGCGUUCCCGGGUCUUGUACACACCGCCCGUCACACCAUGGGAGUUGGUUCUACCUUAAGGCAAGGUUUUAAACCCUUGACCACGGUAUAGUCAGCGACUGGGGUGAAGUCGUAACAAGGUAACCG